UACGGAGGGUGCGAGCGUUGUCCGGAAUCAUUGGGCGUAAAGGGCGCGUAGGUGGCCCCUCAAGCGUGCGGUGAAAGUCAGGGGCUCAACCCCUGAUCGGCCGUGCGAACUGGGGAGCUUGAGCACUGUAGAGGCAGGCGGAAUUCCUGGUGUAGCGGUGAAAUGCGUAGAUAUCAGGGAGGAACACCUGUGGUGUAGACAGCUUUCUGGACCAUUGCUGACGCUGAGACACGAAAGCGUGGGUAGCAAACAGG
rnacentral:rRNA from 1 species